CGGGGUAUAGCUCAGCCUGGUAGAGCGCCAGCUUUGGGAGCUGGACGUCGGGGGUUCGAAUCCCUCUACCCCGACCA
rnacentral:tRNA from 5 species